rnacentral:rRNA from 1 species
UACGUAGGGUCCGAGCGUUGUCCGGAAUUACGGGGCGUAAAGCGCGCGCAGGCGGCUUCCCAAGCGCCACGUGAAAGCCCCGGGCUCAACCCGGGAGGGUCGCGGCGAACUGGGAGGCUUGAGGCCGGUAGAGGUGGGUGGAACUCCUGGUGGAGUGGUGAAAUGCGUAGAGAUCAGGAAGAACACCCGUGGCGAAGGCGGCCCACUGGGCCGGUGCUGACGCUGAGGCGCGAAGGCGUGGGGAGCGAACGGG